UCCUCGAUAGCUCAAUGGUGGAGCAACCGGCUGUUAACCGGUAGGUUGCAGGUUCGAGUCCUGCUCGAGGAGCCA
rnacentral:tRNA from 1 species